GCCCGCUUAGCGCAGUGGUAGCGCGUGACACUUCUAUCACCAUUGGAUAGAUUCAGUAAUGUCGAGGCCGCGAGUUCGAUCCUCGCAGUGGGUU